GGGGAUGUGGCGGAACCGGCAGACGCGAAGGUCUCAAAAACCUUUAAGGGUAACCUUGUGUGGGUUCGAGUCCCACCAUCCCCACCA
rnacentral:tRNA from 1 species